rnacentral:rRNA from 1 species
GACGAACGCUGGCGGCGUGCUUAACACAUGCAAGUCGAGCGGUAAGGCCCUUUCGGGGGUACGACGAGCGGCGAACGGGUGAGUAACGCGUGGGUGACCUGCCCUCAGCUCUGGGAUAAGCCUGGGAAACCGGGUCUAAUACCGGAUAUGACUCCAUGACGCAUGUUGUGGGGUGGAAAGCCUUGUGCGGCUGAGGAUGGGCCCGCGGCCUAUCAGCUUGUUGGUGGGGUGAGGCCUACCAAGGCGACGACGGGUAGCCGGCCUGAGAGGGCGACCGGCCACACUGGGACUGAGACACGGCCCAGACUCCUACGGGAGGCAGCAGUGGGGAAUCUUGCGCAAUGGGCGAAAGCCUGACGCAGCGACGCCGCGUGAGGGAUGACGGCCUGG